rnacentral:rRNA from 1 species
CUAUGGUUUAUUGGAUCAUACCCGUUAAAUGGAUAACUGUAAUAACUCUAGAGCUAAUACAUGCCUCGAUGCUCUGACCCUGUUGGCUUGCCACUGGUGCUGCUGCCGUCGCUGCUUCGCUGCGGCGGUAUGCAGUGGGUAGGUGGCGGGAGGCAGGGGAUGGGUGCACUUAUUAGAUCAGAAGCCAACCAAUUGCUUGUGCGUGUGCGGCCGGUCGAGAGAUCGUGGCAUGCAGGCGUGCAAGCGUUGAGAGGAGGUAUCUGGUGACUCUGGAUAAUUGUUACAGAUCGCAGUCGGCCUUGAGUCGGCGACGGGUCCUUCAAAUGUCUGCCCUAUCAACUGUCGAUGGUAGGUGACCUGCCUACCAUGGUGAUAACGGGUAACGGGGAAUCAGGGUUCGAUUCCGGAGAGGGAGCCUGAGAAACGGCUACCACUUCCAAGGGAGGCAGCAGGCGCGCAAAUUACCCACUCCCGGCACGGGGAGGUGGUGACGAAAAAUACCGAUGCGGGACUCCUUCAAGAGGCUCCGUAAUCGGAAUGAGUGGACUCUAAAUCCUUUCACGAGGAUCAAUUGGAGGGCAAGUCUGGUGCCAGCAGCCGCGGUAACUCCAGCUCCAAUAGCGUAUAUUAAAGUUGCUGCAGUUAAAAAGCUCGUAGUUGGAUCUCGGUAGCAUUGUUGCCUGUUGGUAAUUGAGCGGCCGGUGUGUGGUCAAUGAUGCACAAUCUCGCCAUACACGAUCUGCAUGUGUGCGUGCGGAGGGGGCGCGGGUCGGUUUGGUGGUCGGCAGGCGUGUGAGUGAGUGAGUGAGUGGGUGGGUGGGUGGGUGGGUGGGUGGGUGGGUUGGUUGGUUGGGUAAGUUGGAUGAUUGCCCUAGUUGGUUGAUGGACCGCGGUAGGGGUGAGUAAGCGUGCUUGCUUGCUUGCUGGCUGGCUGCGCGUCUCUCAACUGGCUCAGUGGCUAACUGGCUUGCUUAUCUACCUACCUACCUACCUACCUACCUACCUACCUACCUACUUACUUACUGACUAGCUGGCUGGCUGGCUGGCUAACCGGCCGGUGCGUUGACUCGCUGCUACGGCCUGCCUGCAGUGUGUGUUCGUGUGGGUUGUGUUGUCGUGGCCAUGAAGGAGCACUGUCGUGUCAAGCCGGCAAGCGACGGUGUCACCUUUAAGCCAUGUCUGUGGUGUAACAACCACAGGUGUGGAUGGGUGUUGGGCGGUGCUCUGCACGCGUUGUGGAGCCUGUCGGCUCGUCUGCAUGCCUUUGGAUGCCCUUGAAAAGGUGUCCGCGGGCGAUGGCACGUUUACUUUGAACAAAUUUGAGUGCUCAAGGCAGGCCGUUGUUGCCUGAAAAGUUUUGCAUGGAAUAAUGGAAUAGGACUUCGGUUCUAUUUCGUUGGUUUUCGGAUCCGAAGUAAUGAUCAAAAGAGACAGGCGGGGACGUUUGUACGGCUGCGCUAGAGGUGAAAUUCAUGGACCGUAGCCAGACAAACUAAAGCGAAAGCAUUCGUCAAGCAUGUUUUCAUUGGCCAUGAGCGAAAGUCAGAGGCUCGAAGACGAUCAGAUACCGUCCUAGUUCUGACCAUAAACGAUGCCAACUGACGAUCCGUGGUGGUAGUAAUGUUACCUUCCCCACGGGCAGUCCCCGGGAAACCUUUAAGUGUUUGGGUUCCGGGGGAAGUAUGGUUGCAAAGCUGAAACUUAAAGGAAUUGACGGAAGGGCACCACCAGGAGUGGAGCCUGCGGCUUAAUUUGACUCAACACGGGAAAACUCACCCGGGCCGGACACUAUGAGGAUUGACAGAUUGAGAGCUCUUUCUUGAUUUGGUGGAUGGUGGUGCAUGGCCGUUCUUAGUUGGUGGAGCGAUUUGUCUGGUUAAUUCCGAUAACGAACGAGACUCCAGCCUGCUAAUUAGUGCGUUUGUCCACUGCACCUGGGUAGGUGAUGUUGGAUGACGCCAUUUACCAUAGGCGCCUCGGUCCUGCUUCACCCAUUCCUGCUGUUCUGCUACUGCCUCUACCUCUACCUCUGCCACUGCCUCUGCCUAUGCCUAUGCCUUCCCCUGCUCCUACUCCUGCUCCUGCUCCUGCUCCUGGUUGGUUGCAUGGUUGUUGGGAGUGGAGUGGAGUGGAGUGGAGUGGAGUGCAGUGCAGUGGAGGGUGGGGGUUUGGGGGUGGGGUAAUGCGGGGUUAGCGGCGGACGGGAGGGGAGUAUGGAGUGGGGCUUGACGCUUGUGGUUGGUUAGUCUAGCGUUGGCCUCCGGGUGUGGCGCGAAUGCUUACUUCUUAGAGGGACAAGCGGGAGAAGCCGCACGAAAUAGAGCAAUAACAGGUCUGUGAUGCCCUUAGAUGUCCGGGGCCGCACGCGCGCUACAAUGACGGUGUCAGCGAGUCAGACCUUCUGGCCCGAAAGGGUUGGGCAAACUGGUCAAUCACCGUCGUGACAGGGAUCGGGGCUUGGAAUUGUUCUCCGUGAACGAGGAAUUCCUAGUAAGUGCAAGUCAUAAGCUUGCGCUGAUUACGUCCCUGCCCUUUGUACACACCGCCCGUCGCUACUACCGAUUGAAUGGUUUAGUAAGGUCCUUGGAUUGGCGUCAUUGCGGCGGUGGCUGAGAGGCCGCAGCCCGACAGGCGCUGAGAAGACGACCGAACUUGAUCAUUUAGA